UGUUACUGCGAAGGGGGGACGGAGAAGGCUAUGUUGGCCGGGCGACGGUUGUCCCGGUUUAAGCGUGUAGGUGUGUGUUCCAGGUAAAUCCGGUUCACUUUAACACUGAGGCGUGACGACGAGGCACUACGGUGCUGAAGCAACAAAUGCCCUGCUUCCAGGAAAAGCCUCUAAGCAUCAGGUAACAUCAAAUCGUACCCCAAACCGACACAGGUGGUCAGGUAGAGAAUACCAAGGCGCUUGAGAGAACUCGGGUGAAGGAACUAGGCAAAAUGGUGCCGUAACUUCGGGAGAAGGCACGCUGACACGUAGGUGAAGUGAUUUACUCAUGGAGCUGAAGUCAGUCGAAGAUACCAGCUGGCUGCAACUGUUUAUUAAAAACACAGCACUGUGCAAACACGAAAGUGGACGUAUACGGUGUGACGCCUGCCCGGUGCCGGAAGGUUAAUUGAUGGGGUCAGCGCAAGCGAAGCUCCUGAUCGAAGCCCCGGUAAACGGCGGCCGUAACUAUAACGGUCCUAAGGUAGCGAAAUUCCUUGUCGGGUAAGUUCCGACCUGCACGAAUGGCGUAAUGAUGGCCAGGCUGUCUCCACCCGAGACUCAGUGAAAUUGAACUCGCUGUGAAGAUGCAGUGUACCCGCGGCAAGACGGAAAGACCCCGUGAACCUUUACUAUAGCUUGACACUGAACAUUGAGCCUUGAUGUGUAGGAUAGGUGGGAGGCUUUGAAGCGUGGACGCCAGUCUGCGUGGAGCCGACCUUGAAAUACCACCCUUUAAUGUUUGAUGUUCUAACGUGGACCCGUUACCCGGGUUGCGGACAGUGUCUGGUGGGUAGUUUGACUGGGGCGGUCUCCUCCUAAAGAGUAACGGAGGAGCACGAAGGUUGGCUAAUCCUGGUCGGACAUCAGGAGGUUAGUGCAAUGGCAUAAGCCAGCUUGACUGCGAGCGUGACGGCGCGAGCAGGUGCGAAAGCAGGUCAUAGUGAUCCGGUGGUUCUGAAUGGAAGGGCCAUCGCUCAACGGAUAAAAGGUACUCCGGGGAUAACAGGCUGAUACCGCCCAAGAGUUCAUAUCGACGGCGGUGUUUGGCACCUCGAUGUCGGCUCAUCACAUCCUGGGGCUGAAGUAGGUCCCAAGGGUAUGGCUGUUCGCCAUUUAAAGUGGUACGCGAGCUGGGUUUAGAACGUCGUGAGACAGUUCGGUCCCUAUCUGCCGUGGGCGCUGGAGAACUGAGGGGGGCUGCUCCUAGUACGAGAGGACCGGAGUGGACGCAUCACUGGUGUUCGGGUUGUCAUGCCAAUGGCACUGCCCGGUAGCUAAAUGCGGAAGAGAUAAGUGCUGAAAGCAUCUAAGCACGAAACUUGCCCCGAGAUGAGUUCUCCCUGAGACUUAGAGUCUCCUGAAGGAACGUUGAAGACGACGACGUUGAUAGGCCGGGUGUGUAAGCGCAGCGAUGCGUUGAGCUAACCGGUACUAAUGAACCGUGAGGCUUAACCUUACAACGCCGAAGCUGUU
rnacentral:rRNA from 1 species